rnacentral:rRNA from 1 species
GUUACCUAUCAGCUACGACGGUAGGGUAUUGGCCUACCGUGGCCGUAACGGGUAACGGAGAAUUAGGGUUCGAUUCCGGAGAGGGAGCCUGAGAGACGGCUACCACAUCUAUGGAAGGCAGCGGGCGCGCAAAUUACCCAAUCCUAACACAUUAGGGAGGUAGCGACAAGAAAUACCAAUGCAUGGCAUAUGCCGUGCAAUUGGGAUGAGUAGGGAGUAAAGCUUCCUGCGACUAUCAAUUGGAGGGCAAGUCUGGUGCCAGCAGCCGCGGUAAUUCCAGCUCCAAUAGCGUAUAUUAAAGUUGUUGCGGUUAAAACGCUCGUAGUCUAGUCUUUGCACCAGUGCUGGCUUGCAACCGCGAUCAAAUCGUUAGAUUUGAUUCUGCGAUGCACUGCUCUCGCUGGCGCACACUGGAGCUGGCUGACAUUCUCCCAAUGGGCGCCACGACCUAACAGUCUGGUCCUUUGAGAGGUUGUUGCCGCUCUGUUGUUACUUUGAACAAAUUAGGGUGUUCCAAGCAGGCGUGAUGCCGUGAAUAUACAAGCAUGGAAUAAUGUUAUAAGGCUUUUGACUUAUUUCGUUGGUUCUUUGUCAGAAGUAAUGAUGAAUAGGAACAGUCGGGGGCAUUCGUAUUUAACAGUCAGAGGUGAAAUUCUUGGAUUUGUUAAAGACGAGCUAAAGCGAAAGCAUUUGCCAAGGAUGUUUUCAUUGAUCAAGAACGAAAGUUAGGGGAUCGAAGACGAUCAGAUACCGUCCUAGUCUUAACUAUAAACUAUGCCGACUAGGGAUUGGAAGUCUCCAUUUUCGGGGCUUUCAGCAUCUCGAGAGAAAUCAAAGUCUUUGGGUUCCGGGGGGAGUAUGGUCGCAAGGCUGAAACUUAAAGGAAUUGACGGAAGGGCACCACCAGGAGUGGAGCCUGCGGCUUAAUUUGACCCAACACGGGAAACCUCACCAGGUCCGGACAUAAUGAGGAUUGACAGAUUGAAGCUCUUUCUUGAUAUUUUGGGUGGUGGUGCAUGGCCGUUCUUAGUUGGUGGAGUGAUUUGUCUGGUUAAUUCCGAUAACGAACGAGACCUUAUCCUGCUAAAUAAUUGCUUCGCCGUUCCGGUUUUGCUUCUUGAUUAUUCGUAGUCAAGUUCAUUACUCAGGAGAAGACAGUUUCUUAGAGGGACUUUGCGUGUCCAACGCAAGGAAGUUUGAGGCAAUAACAGGUCUGUGAUGCCCCUCGACGUCCUGGGCUGCACGCGCGCUACAAUGGCUGAGUUACCGAGCUUGUCCGACCUUUAACAAGGAAGGUACUCUCUAAACUCUGCCGUGAUUGGGAUAGACACUUGCAAUUAUUUGCCUUGAACCAGGAAUUCCUAGUAAGCGUAAGUCAUCAGCUUGCGCUGAUUACGUCCCUGCCUUUUGUACACACCGCCCGUCGCUUCUACCGAUUGAAUGCUCAGGUGAACACUUUGGACACACUCAGUCUUGUAUUGAGAAUGGAAGCUGUGUAAGCCUUAUCAUUUAGAGGAAGGAGAAGUCGUAACAAGGUU